rnacentral:lncRNA from 1 species
AGGGCAAAGAAAUUGUACUCGAGGAUCGAUAGUCGGAGUACUCUAAAAAAUUUUGACUCCCGAAAUAGUGAGUAACCUUAUCAUCAUCUUGAUUAUCUAAAGUGAAUUUUAAUUCGUUUUUGUGAUUUUAUGGAAAACGUGAUUAAAUGAAAUGAUUUUAUAAAAUUGUCUUGAAAUUGAAUGAUGGUUUUGAAAAUGGAAUAAUUAGAGACUACUUGCUGUGUUAUAAAAUUAUGUUUUGAAUUGAAUGGCUCAUGAUAAUGUGGGCAUGAAUGGCUGGAUGGGUAUUUGUGUUGAAAAUGUAUAAACUGUUGUUUGCCUUGAUAAGCUGGAUAAUGAUAAAAUUGCUAUGUCAUGCUGUUGAAUUUUUAUUGUAUGGUGGGUUUAGCUUGCUGCAGUGGGCGGGUUCUGUGGACCAACCAAUUUGAAGGGCACGUAAUCCGGUUAUAUACGUACCUUGGUCGGAGAGGCGUAUAGGGUAUCUCUUGAGGUAUGGUUAGAGUUCACAUCGCGCCGAACCAUCUCGUGAUGAUGAACUCCACUAACGCCAAGGAACGGCUGUGCUUUUCAAACUAAAAAUAUGUUUACGUGUGUACGAAAUUUUUAAUAGCCUUGGCAGAUUUGGUUAGAUGCCUAGGCCAAGGUAUUCCCGAGAAUGAUUUUGGUAGGAGCCAAGCUUUUAAGAUACUCAUAAGCCAUGUUGAUUAUUUAAAUGAAAUGAAUAUUUAUGUUAUGAAAUACAUAUUGAGAUGGAAUAUUUUAAUCGUCUCCAUUUACUCGACUUUAGAUAUUUUGGAUGAUGUUUGUUUACUCACUGGGAUUAUAU